rnacentral:tRNA from 1 species
GGAGAGAUGGCUGAGUGGCUGAAAGCGGUUUCCUGCUAAGAAAUUGACUGGGGUUUAACCUGGUCCGAGGGUUCGAAUCCCUCUCUCUCCG